rnacentral:lncRNA from 1 species
GGUCGUCGGAUGUAAUAUAUUGAAUUGCAAUCAUAGUUGUUACUACAUUGUACUAUGUAGUAGUUUAUAAAAGAUAAGCUUGUUCAUUUAUUAUUACUUCUUUUACUUUUCAUAAACAAGCCUCAGUAAAUAAGUCAGUGUUGAGAACUACAAGUCAAGCAAAUCAUCAGACACAAGGAAACAAUAGUUAUGUCCAUCAAACGUUAUAAGGAUGAACAUUAUUCAAAAAGUGUUCAUUUCUUUUGAGGUUCAAAUGUUUGUAAACCUUUAUCACCGCGAACAUGAACUUUGAGGCCG